UCCCGUUCUUAUGAGGGCAUCGUUGAGUACUUUCAAGUGCCCGUCACGUUCCUCCUCAUCUGAACAGAUCCUGUUUAUUUGGAGGGCUUGCCCGUAGGAGAUGGCUGUGUUAAUCUGAAGCCGGAGAAGUGUAGCAUCAUGAGGUUAUCCAUGGGUUUGUGGUAGAGAGAGGUGCUGAGGUGCCCAUCCUUGAUGGAAAUGCAUGUGUCUAAGAAUGAGACAGAUGCUAAAGAGUAGUCCAUGUUGAGUGACUCCUGAUCAUGGGUCCACAGGAAGAAAAUUUCAUCAAUCUACUGGUGUAUAGUGUUAGUUGGAGGUCCUGCCUAGAGAAGAAGUCUUUUUCAAACCUAAGCAUGCAAAUGUUGGCAUUAUGGGGUGCAAAUUUGGUCCCCAUGGCUGUCCCCGUGUGUCUGGAUGAAGAACUGGUUGUCAAAGGUGAAAACCUGGUCGAGGAUAAAGAGGAUAAGUUGCAGGCUGGUGCUCGGAGAUUGGCAGUUGUUGGUUUGAAUACUAAGGCUGUUGCUAUGAUGCCAUCAUCGUGGGGAAUGCUGGUGUAGGGUGCUGAAAUGUCUAUUAUGACAAGGAAUGUUCCCAGUUUGACUGGUCCACUGGUGCUGCGUUUCUGUAAGAAACCUGUAGUGUUGUGACAGAAGCUGGGGGCCCCCUGUACAAUGGGUUUCAAGAAGCGUUCAAUAUAGUCAGAGAGGUUUUCACAUAGGUCCCACUGCCUGAUACAAUGAGACGCCCUGGUGUGUUGGCUUUGUGCACCUUCAGAAGGCAGUAGAAGUCACCUACGUGGGAUGAGGGCCCAUAGGGAACUCUGAAGUACUGGAUUAGGAAGGCAGUAGAGGUCACGUAACGAGGACUCCAUGGGAUGAGAUAUCAUUUUAAGCUUUAGUCAAAUGCAAAUAAUAUUGGACGCAUCUCUCGAUCUUUGAUCAGAAUAUACUUUUUAAUAGCUUUGGAAACAAAAGAUUUGGCAGAGUCUGACCACUACUGAAACAAUGGAGUUUUCCUCAUUCACUCUGUUGGACAUGAAUAAUGUCUUUUAUCAUGAAGUUUACUUAGUCAUCAAAACUUGUUGAAAAUAAAAGCCUGGCGCUGCAAAUCUUUGGGAGUUGUUUGGCCAGAGCUCUGGGAGCAAAAAACUUUGCUUACUCUCCUACAUUCUGUGAGAGGAAAUAUGUUUGGAUAUUAUUUCCAUUGCUAACAUACCUGCAAAAGAAGCCAUCAUUAACUCACUGUAUGUAUCAGACCACUUACUGUCAGUCUAUAACAGAAAGCCAUGAUUCAGAAAACUUUUAAAAUAAAUUUCUUCUGACGGCCUUAAGAUAGCCAACCCCCAAUGGCAGUAAAAUACUGCUCCAAACAGUGAAGAAAUAGGUGGGUUCAACAUUCACUGUGUAUAUUUCAGUACUCACAGGGUGAUCUCUCCUACCUAAAAAAUGAAGCCAACUGUUUCCUAAGAAUUAGAGGUGAGUGCUUGCAAAUAUGUGUGGUAUUGAAAUGUAUUUUUUAGUUUUUUUGUGUUGUAAAGUCAAUAAUUCACUUACAUCCAGUUACUGUUAAAUCAGAAAAUCAGAAACUGGACAAAAUGUGACGUGGAGGAUUUACGGGAGUGUCAUUCACGGGUCAUUCAAGUGGGUCUUCAAACCUCGUCAUUUCCAUCGUCUUCAUUAACUUGUGUCAACAGAAAUCCAAGGUGUAACCUUUUUUCAAUUGAAAUUCAAUUUAAGAUUUAAAUGUUGCAAAAAGCAACAGUGACCAAUUCCGUUCUCUUCCAAGUAUGAACGUAUAUGUAUAAGAGGUUUUUGAAACAUAUUGCAAGAUUAACUUGCAGAGACUGAUUAGUUCAAAACCAGUUCAUAAUUACCCGGGAUGAGCGGUAUCAUUGCUGUUAUUAAAUCCCAUGAGAAAUGUAAGGGGGAUCCCCAUAAGGACGAAUUCCGCUCUGUAGGUGGGGUCUAUCCUUAAGAGUUUUAUUUCCGCCAAUUAACACAGGAGGGACCUCUCAACAUCGCAGAACGACCUCUGACUAUGUUCAGGCUGCCAAGUAAUAUUUGGACUCAGGGAGCUGCUUGUUGCAGGGACCAGUGUUACCCAGGCAGUGUCAGAGUAUUCCCGGUGGAAUCGUUUAGAGGAGAUUUUGAUGGUGUUGCCUGUCACGGGACAUGUCUGCUCUGACACAGCUCUCGGCUCCUUCACUGUAUGCAUCAUUACAUCUUGGUCCCCCAGUUUAAGUCGCAUCGGUUUUGAUGUCUAAUCGCUGAAGAAUGUCCCAAAUCAGUGGGAGUAUUUUUUGGUGAAUUCUUCUUAUCCUGUACAUAAUCCUUUUCUUGGUGUAACUGAGUAUGAUUAAAAGUAUUGAGGAAAGUCAA